rnacentral:rRNA from 1 species
CUAAUAAUUCUCUAGUGGCGCACGGGUGAGUAACACGUGAGUAACCUGCCCCCGAGAGCGGGAUAGCCCUGGGAAACUGGGAUUAAUACCGCAUAGUAUCGAAAGAUUAAAGCAGCAAUGCGCUUGGGGAUGGGCUCGCGGCCUAUUAGUUAGUUGGUGAGGUAACGGCUCACCAAGGCGAUGACGGGUAGCCGGUCUGAGAGGAUGUCCGGCCACACUGGAACUGAGACACGGUCCAGACACCUACGGAAGGCAGCAG